GUGAGGUGCUGGCCUAUGGUGGUCACUAUGUGUCACAAUCGUGCUCCCUCCCCUUGAAACAUCCCCAUGCAGGUCCCCGGCAGUGGAGACAGCCUCUUUCUUCCUCGUAGGGACAGCUGGCCACACAGCAGUAUAUAUACAGUGAUGCGCUGCUCUGGGUCACAUCUGUCUGCCAGGAGAUCCUGCUGUCUACCUAGGCAGAGAUGAUGUGAUGGUUACUAUUGACAGCAACUUGGCAAGAUGCCAAAUCACCUAACGGACAUACCGCUGGGUAGUCUGGGAGGAAGUUUAUGGAGAAGUUAAACUGAAGAGGAAGGACAGAUCCUAACUAAGGUCCCAGGGUAAAUUAAAAAGAGAGCUGAGUACUACUGAGUCCACGUCCCACUGCUUCCUGCCUGCGGAGGUGAUGCGACAGCCACCUCAUGCUCCUGUGACUAGUUCCACUCAAACUGUAAGGCAGAAUAAAUGCUUCCUUAUAUUGUUUUGUCACAGCACGGGACAAGCCAACAUAAGAGAGACCCACAUCCCUCCUAGCAAUAAGGACACAGAGAAGAUGCCAUAUCUGAAACUGGGAGACAUAGAGCUGCCUCUGAAGCUGCAAGUGACCGUCUACUGACUGCAAGUUGCCCAGUCUGGGUUUGAUGCAGUGGCCAUCACAGACACAGACAGCGUUAAUGGGUGGAUCCUUCUUUGCUUCAUCUCCUCUACCUUCCCUCCUCUCUGCACAUGCAAAAAAUGAGGGUUGAUGUUUUUAUUCAUGCUAUAGAAAAAUAUUAGCAUAUGUUUAUUGUACACAA